UUUAUGUUAUGCAAAGGGAACAUGGAUAAUGUUAGAAACAUACUUCAAAAUGGGAGAAGAGCCUUUACAAUGCGUCAACUGGAUGAGGGAUUCCCAUCUAGAAUAUAGAACAUAAAUCAAAUAAGAAAUCUAAUAAACAAAUCAACAAGAAAAAGACAGUGACCUCAAUAGAAAAAUGGGCAAAGUAUGUCAACAGGCAACUUACAGAGAGAUACACUCAGAAAGCUAACACAUCAUAAAUAACUCAGCAAACUGACAUAACAAUGAGCUAUAAUUUUAUACCCAGUUGACUGCAAAGGUUUCAAAAGGUGAAUUGCACUCUGUGUGAGCUGGAUAUGGACCUAGGUCCUGCUGGUGAGAGUAAGGACCAACACAGUGAUUGGAAAGCACAAUCUGUACUACUCAAGCAAAGUAAGAACACCCAUGUCCUAUGAGCUGGCAAGAUUGAGAGGAGGGUAAGGAAAUGGGAGUAGAGAAAACAACAAAGAUUCUGGCUUAGUUGACUUGGUAGAUUCAGGUGACAUUACCCAAGAUACAGAAUGAAGAAGGAGGAAGAGCUGGUCUGGGGGUAAAGAUGAUGUUUUCCAAUUUGGAUCUGUUAAGAAUUAUGAACUCAGGGGAUGCCUGAUGAGAAUAGUAGACACUCAAUCGAUAUUAUCUUCUCUCCAAUCAGAUAUCUACCCCAUGCUUGGUGUUAAAUAAAUAUUAAUUGGAAAUGCUGACCACAAGGUAGCAGAAAUGGAAGAGAGGAGAGAAAUAUGUCAGCUCGCUGCAGGCCUCACAGCCAAGAGAAGUUUCCAGGCCUCUCUCUGCCAUGAUCCCUUCUCUGAUUCGCCUCCAGUGAUGCCCUCUCUACUCUGCCCAUUCAUCGUCCAUCAGCACCCUCCCUUUCCCACCCCAAGGUGCUGAGAACCUCCAGGGGCCCCAGAGAAGCCAGAGAGAACUCAACACCAGUCCCUCUAGCCAAACAAUCAGCAAACAAAGAUAACUUUAAAGAGUGUCAAGCCCAACUUUAUGACUCCCUCAUAGGCACCAAGGGCAUUGUCUCAAGAGCCUAAGCCACCAGACAGGAUAACCCAGGACUGCUUGUCAGUUGACCUGCUGAGACCAACUAUGACUCAUCUGUUUACUGCAGAACCGAGGUAACGUGGGAUGCAAAGGUUGACAGCCACCUCCCGGGAGACUGUCAGACCUGGAAAUCAGGGCCCUGGGUUUCAACCGGAAAUGUUUACACUGGCACAGACCCAUGAUGGAUGGAGGGCCACGUCACGCAGAGCUGAGCACAUGCACACAUUUUAAGGGACCGGGGUCUUCACAGCUGACCAGCUGGUCACUCUCUCCGCUGCGCUGAGCAGCCUGGAGGCUAGCGGUCAUCACUUACAUGUGUUCUGCUACUUACACUUGGAUUUAUAACCACACUUUCCCACGGCCGCAUUUUCUUUCUUGGCAGAAGAUUAAGGGCAGCAAUAAUAAACACGUAAUAAUAGUGA